rnacentral:tRNA from 1 species
GCCGGCGUAGCUCAGUGGUAGAGCAACUGAUUCGUAAUCAGUAGGUCGAGGGUUCAAAUCCCCCCGCCGGCU